rnacentral:rRNA from 1 species
GACGAACGCUGGCGGCGUGCCUAAUACAUGCAAGUUGAGCGCUUAAGGUUGGUACUUGUCCCAACUGGAUGAGCAGCGAACGGGUGAGUAACGCGUGGGGAAUCUGCCUUUGAGCGGGGGACAACAUUUGGAAACGAAUGCUAAUACCGCAUAAAAACUUUAAACACAAGUUUUAAGUUUGAAAGAUGCAAUUGCAUCACUCAAAGAUGAUCCCGCGUUGUAUUAGCUAGUUGGUGAGGUAAAGGCUCACCAAGGCGAUGAUACAUAGCCGACCUGAGAGGGUGAUCGGCCACCAUGGGACUGAGACACGGCCCAAACUCCUACGGGAGGCAGCAGUAGGGAAUCUUCGGCAAUGGACGAAAGUCUGACCGAGCAACGCCGCGUGAGUGAAGAAGGUUUUCGGAUCGUAAAACUCUGUUGGUAGAGAAGAACGUUGGUGAGAGUGGAAAGCUCAUCAAGUGACGGUAACUACACAGAAAGGGACGGCUAACUACGUG